AGAAGGUCUGAGCGCCCAACGGUCAACGGAUGUAGAAAGGAAGUUCCGCCUUACAGUUAAAAGAGCCAAUCACCUUUUAUAUACAGACAUGCGCCUUAUCUGUACAAGCCUGGAAAAUAGUUUUCUAGCGUAAUAUGAGUAGAUAGGAGCUGCACUGUCAUGACUGGAAAUAACCUCCUGAGAUCGUUCCAAAGAUGGCCGACAGUGGACUGACUUUAUUAUUAUUAUUAUUAUUAUUAUUUUAUUAUUAUUAUUAUUGAACAUAUACAAAAUAUACAUUUAUAAUGGCAUUCGAAUUGUAAAAAAAAUAAAAAUAAAAAAAAAUAACAGUAAAACAAGGCACACAAAUAAAUUGGGAAUAAAUAAAUAAAUAAA